UCGUUAAUAAGUUUACUUUAUCGUGGCGCAAAAUUUGAUGGGCCAAUAUGAGUGCUUUUAUAAUUGCUCUGUUGCUUAAUGAAUUUCGGUUUAACUGGAAACAAAAUUAAUACAGCUUCAGAGAAAUUAGAAUUUUAGACUUCAAGAUAUCUUCACGGUUAUCAGCUGUUCGUUCAUUUCAACUUUGAGAAUCCUGUUUCCGCGAUUCUCUAACAUUGUACGUUGUUUCAACUUCGUUUCAAGUUGGCAGAGUAUACAACAGUGACGAGGACGUCGUAUAAGGAAGCAUGUUCUUCAGGAUUACUCGCGUGUCCUAAGUGAUACUUGGCACUCAGGUCGUAGCGAGGUUGCGUGUCUUGUACGCCCGCUUCUGGCGAACUUCGCCGCAAACUUCCUCGAAAUUUUCGUCUCAAUGGACACUGACCAUUAAAGCCACUUAAGGUACUAGGAUCGCUCCUCGAGUUCGCUCGCCCGAGGAUGUCCUGUCGUCCAGCAAAUAUUCUUGAACAGUACAGUGCCGAGAUUUUAGCCGUUGACUCUAAAGAGUCGUCGAGUUUCCUGGAGAGACGUUAUUCAUCAGCUUUGUGAUCUUCUUACCUCUUCGUAAUACAACUUGAACAGCUAUGUCGAUAUUUAAUUUCUUACUCAUGUUCUUUGUACUUAAUCUUAAUACAUUUUUAUAAAAUUAGCUAUCUAUGUGUACCAUAA